CUACGUCCCUCAGCAUCACACUCGCCACGGCCCUCACCAUGACACUCGGACUCACCAUGACACACACGCAUCAUCCUCCACCUAACCACGAUCCUACACCCCUCAACUACGACACACUCUCACCGAGGCCCCUCACCAUGACCGUCAAAUUAGCAUCAUUCCUCGCCACGACUUUCAUCACCACCCUCACCGACACAAUGACCGUACUACUCUCAGUCUCAUUCCGUCCCUCACCCUUCUUACUUACUCACUACAAGGCCUAUGCUGGGCUAUUAUUCUCGCGACCCUCACCUGUACCCUCACCUGUACCCUCACCUGUACCCUGAGCCCGUGCCUCAUGAGACCUUACACCUCCCCUCCCCCGUCUACUUCACUCACGAUUGUAAACAAGGGUGAGUUUUGAGGUGGCGGGGUGAGUGGCGAGGUCCCCAGGUAUCGGGGUGAAUGGCGGCGGGGUUGCGGGUACACGGCGACCAUGGUGGUGAGUAGUAUGGCGAGUAGUAUGGUCCCGGGGUGAGUAGUGAGGUCCUCGGGUCGUGGGGUUCGUGGUGAGGUAACGACGUGUCAGUGGUGAGUAGCUCGUGGUGAGGUAACGACGUGUCAGUGGUGAGUAGGUCGUGGUGUUCGUGGUGAGUAGGUCGUGGUGUUCGUGGUGAGGUAACGACGUGUCAGUGGUGAGUAGCUCGUGGUGAGUAGCUCGUGGUGUUCGUGGUGAGGUAACGACGUGUCAGGGUGAGUAGGUCGUGGUGUUCGUGGUGAGUAGCUCGUGGUAUUCGUGGUGAGGUAACGACGUGUCAGUGGUGAGUAGCUCGUGGUGUUCGUGGUGAGGUAACGACGUGUCAGUGGUGAGUAGCUCGUGGUGUUCGUGGUGAGUAGCUCGUGGUGUUCGUGGUGAGGUAACGACGUGUCAGUGGUGAGUAGCUCGUGGUGUUCGUGGUGAGUAGCUCGUGGUGUUCGUGGUGAGGUAACGACGUGUCAGUGGUGAGUAGCUCGUGGUGAGUAGCUCGUGGUGUUCGUGGUGAGGUAACGACGUGUCAGUGGUGAGUAGGUCGUGGUGUUCGUGGUGAGGUAACGACGUGUCAGGGUGAGUAGCUC